UCAACCUUUAGAUUCAAAGUUAGAUUCAAACGAAGAUGAGUAAAAACUGUCUGCUGAAGUUAGCUUAGCAUGCUAACUGAUACAGGUCAUGGUGGUAACCCAGCAACAGCUUCAGCUGGUGAUCGUUGGAUCUUCUGUCGUCGUGUUGAGCGACAAGUCAGACCGACGACUGCUGAGAGCUUCAGUGACACAGCAGCUCGAUGAUGAUGAUGAUGAUGACGAUGACGACGACGAUGUUUAUUGAUGAGUUUGUUUUGAUUUAAAGUUAAAGACAGUAUAAUUGUGCGGUGCAGUAACCAGGUGAAUACUUUAGUGAUAUUCUGCAGGGGGUCACUCUGAGGUAAACUAAGACUCGGUGUCCAGCAGAUCUGCAGAACUUCCAUCAUAGUUGUUUGAAGCGCGGCGGAGACGGGAGGGCAGCGAGCGAUGAUGAGCCAAGUCAGCUGACAGAAAAUAACCAGCGACAGAAAGAACUGGAUGCAGCUUUCAACCCUAAAGUUGUGCGACACAGAUCAAUGUCGUGCAGCUGUUGGUGAUUAAAGGCCCCAGUCUGGACCAGGAGGACUCAGAGUCCCUUCAUAUAAAAGAGGAACAGGAGGAGGUCUGGACCAAUCAGGAGCGAGAGCAGCGUAUUGUCUAUAGGAGGCUGGUGUGACUGCUGUUCCCAUGAAGAGUGAAGAGGAUGGAGAGGAACCUCAUUCUUCACCGUUUCAUCAAAGGUGAACUGGACAACAGAGAGGCAGAGCCUCCAGUCGGCAGCUAUGUGACAGAGAUGAAAGCAGAAACUGAUGGAGUGGACUGUAGAGGACCACGGCCAGCCAGGAACCAAGAUCCAGGUCAUCCCCCACAAGCAAAUACUGUUGACAAGGCUUCAGACUCUGAGACCGAUUUCACUUACGAAGACUGGCAAGAACCUUUGUCAGAAUCUGGAACUGAAGCUGAAGACGAGGACAAUGACUGGGAAGAAACCAGGACUCCUGAGUCAGGUGUCAGUGAUCUGAGGCAAAGACAAAACCAGAAGACCAGUCUGAUGACAGAGGAGCAAGUCCAGAAAGGACGAAAAACAUUUGGUUGUGACGUGUGUGGGAAAAGAUUCACAACACAGGGAAGUCUGAAGGUACACAUGAGAGUCCACACAGGAGAGAAACCAUUUGGUUGUGAUGUCUGUGGGAAAAGAUUUAGUCAAAAACCGAAUCUAAAUAGGCACCUCAGCAUCCACACCGGAGAGAAACCAUUUGGUUGUGAUGUCUGUGGGAAAAGACUUAGUCAAAAACAACAUCUGAAGACGCACAUGAGAGUCCACACAGGAGAGAAACCAUUUGGUUGUGAUGUCUGUGGGAAAAGAUUUAGUCAAAAACCGAAUCUAAAGAGACACCUCAGCAUCCACACAGGAGAGAAACCAUUUGGUUUUGAUGACUGUGGAAAAAUAUUUUUUUAGAAAUUAACUUUGAAGACAGACACAAAAAAAUUACGACAUUUUAAUGAAAAGUUUUGAUGAUGAAAAAUUGCAUUAGUUUGUUAGAACCACGGCACGUUCAGUUGUCGUUUAUCGUUUCAUCAUAACUUCUUCUUUUCUUUCUCUUUUGUGUAUUUUAAAAUGUGUGAUUAAAUCUUUUCUUGGCUGUUUA